GUCUGUUUACCUUUGGGACCUGACAGCUGUGGCGUGCUCCCGUUGUAGCCAUGGAGGGAAGGGUCUUUUUAUUUAUUGGAAAAGCUGAUAACCUUUGUUUAGUAUCAGAGUCUGACUUGCACAAGCAAGAUUC
ensembl:snoRNA LOC120096788 small nucleolar RNA SNORA24